rnacentral:rRNA from 1 species
CUCUGUGGAUCAGUGGCGAACGGGUGAGUAACACGUGAGCAACCUGCCCCUGACUCUGGGAUAAGCGCUGGAAACGGCGUCUAAUACCGGAUAUGAGCUGCGAUCGCAUGGUCAGCAGUUGGAAAGAUUUUUCGGUCUGGGAUGGGCUCACGGCCUAUCAGCUUGUUGGUGAGGUAAUGGCUCACCAAGGCGUCGACGGGUAGCCGGCCUGAGAGGGUGACCGGCCACACUGGGACUGAGACACGGCCCAGACUCCUACGGGAGGCAGCAGUGGGGAAUAUUGCACAAUGGGCGAAAGCCUGAUGCAGCAACGCCGCGUGAGGGAUGACGGCCUUCGGGUUGUAAACCUCUUUUAGCAGGGAAGAAGCGAAAGUGACGGUACCUGCAGAAAAAGCGCCGGCUAACUACGUGCCAGCAGCCGCGGUAAUACGUAGGGCGCAAGCGUUAUCCGGAAUUAUUGGGCGUAAAGAGCUCGUAGGCGGUUUGUCGCGUCUGCUGUGAAAUCCCGAGGCUCAACCUCGGGUCUGCAGUGGGUACGGGCAGACUAGAGUGCGGUAGGGGAGAUUGGAAUUCCUGGUGUAGCGGUGGAAUGCGCAGAUAUCAGGAGGAACACCGAUGGCGAAGGCAGAUCUCUGGGCCGUUACUGACGCUGAGGAGCGAAAGGGUGGGGAGCAAACAGGCUUAGAUACCCUGGUAGUCCACCCCGUAAACGUUGGGAACUAGUUGUGGGGUCCAUUCCACGGAUUCCGUGACGCAGCUAACGCAUUAAGUUCCCCGCCUGGGGAGUACGGCCGCAAGGCUAAAACUCAAAGGAAUUGACGGGGACCCGCACAAGCGGCGGAGCAUGCGGAUUAAUUCGAUGCAACGCGAAGAACCUUACCAAGGCUUGACAUAUACGAGAACGGGCCAGAAAUGGUCAACUCUUUGGACACUCGUAAACAGGUGGUGCAUGGUUGUCGUCAGCUCCUGUCCUGAGAUGUUGGGUUAAGUCCCGCAACGAGCGCAACCCUCGUUCUAUGUUGCCACCACGUAAUGGUGGGAACUCAUGGG